CAAUAGCGUAUAUUAACGUUGUUGCAGUUAAAAAGCUCGUGGUUGGAUUUCUGGAGGGAGCGUCGGCCCGUAUUUACGAGUGCGUGACGUCUCUGUCCAUCCUUGCGGGAAGGCACGGCAUUGAUUUGUUGUGUCGGAUCGCAUCAUUUACUGUGAAAAAAUUAGAGUGUUCAAAGCAGGCUUUCGCUUGAAUACAUUAGCAUGGAAUAAUAAGAUAGGACUUUGGUGCUAUUUUGUUGGUUGAGCCUAAAGUAAUGAUUAAUAGGGAUAGUUGGGGGCACCUGUAUUGCGUUGUCAGAGGUGAAAUUCUUGGAUUUACGCAAGACAAACAGCUGCGAANGNGUCUGGNAAGGAUGUUUNCAUUA
rnacentral:rRNA from 1 species